rnacentral:sRNA from 1 species
AGCAGCCGCGGUAAUUCCAGCUCCAAUAGCGUAUAUUAAAGUUGUUGCAGUUAAAAAGCUCGUAGUUGAAUUUCGGGAUCAGCAGGUUGGUCGUGCCUACGGUAUGAACUGGCCUUGCUGAUUCCUCCCUCUUGAUGAGCCGUAAUGCCAUUAAUUUGGUGUUGCGGGGAAUCAGGACUGUUACUUUGAAAAAUUAGAGUGUUUAAAGCAGGCAAGCGCUUGAAUACAUUAGCAUGGAAUAAUGAAAUAGGACGUUUGAUCCUAUUUUGUUGGUUUCUAGGAUUGACGUAAUGAUUAAUAGGGAUAGGUUGGGGGCUAUU